rnacentral:lncRNA from 1 species
GUCUCAGAGCAACACUGCAAUGUUUGGAUGCUGAAUGAAUCAAGAUUUGCCGGAUUUCCUGAAUGACAUCCUGAUUGAGAGCGUUUCCCAGAAUGCUGUAAGAAUAAUGCAGAUAUAAAUGCACAGCAGCCACAUGAAUAAUGAAGCGAGGAGAAUGAUGCAGUGUAGUGUGGUACCGGUGGGCAUCUGCCGAGGCGAACAUCUCAUCUGAUAUGAAGGACCAGGCAUGAUACGUGGAGCUUUGAAGAGGGAAAAACUGUCAAUGAGUUUGCAGAGCAACUGCAUCAAAUAUUAACCUGCACUGCUGAUGUGGUGAAAACAACUCGACACUGAAGAACAAUACUCGUCUCACUCUUUGUCCAAUUCUAUGGGUAAAAAGGACCUGACAUGCAAUACUUGUUGUUUUCGCUUGUUUAUACUUCAAUCAAAGCGUCAUUUUUAAAGGUUUGAACUUUUAGGUUUAAGAUUUUAAUAUAUUGUUGAUUUCGAAAGUAAAUUGCACAAAGAAUUUUAAGAUAUUUUUAUGAAUAAAAAUAACAUUU